UAGGCUUACCCGGGGAUACAUAGUC
rnacentral:piRNA from 1 species